rfam:Hydnomerulius pinastri MD-312 unplaced genomic scaffold scaffold_3, whole genome shotgun sequence.
UCCCGUUUAGCUCAGUUGGUAGAGCGCGUCACUAGUAUGCAAUGACGAGGUCAGUCGUUCAAGUCGGCUAAUGGGAA